rnacentral:rRNA from 1 species
UACAGAGGUUGCAAGCGUUGUUCGGAAUUACUGGGCGUAAAGGGCGCGUAGGCGGCCUUCUAAGUCAGACGUGAAAUCCCCCGGCUUAACCUGGGAACUGCGUCUGAUACUGGAAGGCUUGAGUAUGGGAGAGGGAUGUAGAAUUCCAGGUGUAGCGGUGAAAUGCGUAGAUAUCUGGAGGAAUACCGGUGGCGAAGGCGGCAUCCUGGACCAUUACUGACGCUGAGGCGCGAAAGCGAGGGGAGCAAACGGG